ACAGGUGCUGCAUGGCUGUCGUCAGCUCGUGUCGUGAGAUGUUGGGUUAAGUCCCGCAACGAGCGCAACCCUUGUCAUUAGUUGCUACAUUCAGUUGGGUACUCUAAUGAGACUGCCGGUGACAAGCCGGAGGAAGGUGGGGAUGACGUCAAGUCCUCAUGGCCCUUAUAGGUGGGGCUACACACGUCAUACAAUGGCUGGUACAAAGGGUUGCCAACCCGCGAGGGGGAGCCAAUCCCAUAAAGCCAGUCGUAGUCCGGAUCGUAGUCUGCAACUCGACUACGUGAAGUCGGAAUCGCUAGUAAUCGUGGAUCAGAAUGUCACGGUGAAUACGUUCCCGGGUCUU
rnacentral:rRNA from 1 species